UAACACGUAUCCAACCUGCCGUCUACUCUUGGACAGCCUUCUGAAAGGAAGAUUAAUACAAGAUGGCAUCAUGGGUUCACAUGUUCACAUGAUUAAAGGUAUUCCGGUAGACGAUGGGGAUGCGUUCCAUUAGAUAGUAGGCGGGGUAACGGCCCACCUAGUCUUCGAUGGAUAGGGGUUCUGAGAGGAAGGUCCCCCACAUUGGAACUGAGACACGGUCCAAACUCCUACGGGAGGCAGCAGUGAGGAAUAUUGGUCAAUGGGCGAGAGCCUGAACCAGCCAAGUAGCGUGAAGGAUGACUGCCCUAUGGGUUGUAAACUUCUUUUAUAAAGGAAUAAAGUCGGGUAUGCAUACCCGUUUGCAUGUACUUUAUGAAUAAGGAUCGGCUAACUCCGUGCCAGCAGCCGCGGUAAUACGGAGGAUCCGAGCGUUAUCCGGAUUUAUUGGGUUUAAAGGGAGCGUAGAUGGAUGUUUAAGUCAGUUGUGAAAGUUUGCGGCUCAACCGUAAAAUUGCAGUUGAUACUGGAUAUCUUGAGUGCAGUUGAGGCAGGCGGAAUUCGUGGUGUAGCGGUGAAAUGCUUAGAUAUCACGAAGAACUCCGAUUGCGAAGGCAGCCUGCUAAGCUGCAACUGACAUUGAGGCUCGAAAGUGUGGGUAUCAAACAGGAUUAGAUACCCUGGUAGUCCACACGGUAAACGAUGAAUACUCGCUGU
rnacentral:rRNA from 1 species